GAGCAUUCCAGCCUAGCCCAAGCCCCAUGGAACAGAAUUUCAUUAAUUACCCAGUUUUUCCUAAGUUAUCCAAAGGCCCAAAUUCCCCAUAUUUUUUUCCCUUCCUUUCUUCUUAUUAUAGAAGAGGUUUAUAAAAGCCUCCUCUCAUUCCCUCGGUUUCAAGGCGUUGGUCUCCUAUUGGACCUCUCGCCAUCUGCACUACAAACACAAAACCGGUUCCAAAACUAGUUCAGCUAGCACAGGCUGCUCCCGAGGAACUCUGGGAGUGGUAGUUUCGGACGGGCGGCAGGGACCCUUGCCUUAUAGGGGCAGAGCCUUCGCUCUGAACUACAACCUCCAUGUGUCACUGCAAGGGAAGCCACGACAGCUAAAACGGGUUUCUCUCUGUGCCUGUGUGGCUCUUUACGUUCCGUGGUGUGUGUGUUUGUGUGUCUAUAUACUGUAUGUGUGUUUGUGGACGUGCUCUCAAGUCUCCGUUCCUCGGAGGCAACGACAACGGACUCCCAGUUGUUUUGGUCGUCGGGAAGCGAACGGAACUUCCGUCUAAGCGGCGUACGUGUAGGAUCGCGGAUCGGAAGGAGUGCUUUUGAACCGCUUUCGUCGUUCGCAGAACCCACGGGAGGAAAGUUCCUAGGAUAAGACCCUGAACGGAGAAACCAGCCCUUUGUGGUGUUCUGGAUGGUACCGAUUCUGAGAAAGUAGUGGUGGACUUCAGCAGGGAGGCUUUCUGGGCCUGAAUUCUGCCUUGCAAGGGUCAUCAUGCAAAACAACUAUGCAACUGUGGCCUUGCUAGGGUUGCCUGCUGAUGAACCAGAACUUAUUUGCAAAGUGGAGCCAGAGGAAGAGCCAUGGAUCCCAAAGGAGCAGGCUGCUAGGGAGAGGCGGAUCCUGCCUGCAAGCAAGUCAGGUGCCGAAACUCCAGAAGUUGCCGUCCCCUCCUACAGACAGUAUCGUGGCACCACGUGGACCUACCCAGAGGUCAUUGACCUUCUGGUCAUCUGGCGAGAGCGAGAGAUCCAACAGGAACUCCAGCGGAGCCAUCGGAACAUUGAAACCUUUCAGGUAGUGGCCGGCAAAAUGGCCAAGAGAGGCCACAGGCGUACGGCCCUGGAGUGCCGGUCGAAAAUCAAAACGUUGAAGAGAGACUACCGCAUCGCUAAAGCCAACAACUCACCCGGGAAGGGUCACCUGGCUUGGCUUUUCUAUGACAGGUUGGACCACUUGUUGGAGAAUGACAGGGACCUCUCACCUCUGGAGAAGCUCCCUGGUUUAAAUCACCGCCAGGUAGCCAUCAUAGACUCUAUAUCGCAGUGUUCCACGGAGGAGGAAGCCACAACAGACGGGGUGAAGGAAGGUGGCCCGGACGGUCAAGAAGUGCUGGAGCUCAGAAGGUCCUCCCCAGCCAAGAUCGGGAAAGACAGCAUUCCUCUGCCGUGCAUCAAGCAAGAAGCCCCGGACGAAAUGCCAGUCACAGUGCCCCAGGCAGAAGUCAGCAGUCCUGUUCCACCUCUCCCUUCGACUCCUUGUGAUAAACCAGGAUGCUCUGCCUCAACUGUAGAUGGUGCUGUUACCUCACCCCAAAGCCCCAUUCCUGGUCCUGCAAGGUCUUACGCAGCUGAACGACUGGCCAACAUCAGAAAGAGGAAACGGAAAAACAGGCAAGAUAUGGCCCUAGAGAUCACACAGGCAGCCGAUAGACGGGUCCAAAUGGCCACGGACAGGAUCCUGGCAGCACUUGGGGAAUACGCCAAGGCAGAUCUGCAGGACCGUGAGCGGGACCGAGUGGACACUGAACAGAUUAUUGCCCUCAUGAACCGCCAGACAGAACUUUUGGAGUCGCUGGUGCGAAAGCAGACUGAGACCCAGGCCCGCGUGUCGCCCACCUUGACCUGGCCUUCCCGGAUUCCUCGGCCUGGGCAGCCAAAUCAUCCUUCCGAAUCGUCUCCCUUGCACUUGGGCGUAACCCGGCGUCCCCUUGCAAGGGCAAGAUACAGGAGGUGAUUCCCAUCGUUGCUUGUGCUGCCUUUUAAAAAGGCCUCCUUGGUAGCUUCUUAUCCUACAGGACACAGAGGGUGGGGAGUAUACCUUUGCAAACGGGUUGUGGCUUUUUCAAGACUUUUUUCAAUCUUUUUACAGUGAAUGAUUUUAUUUGCCAAUUGUAAAAAAAGAA
ensembl:lncRNA uncharacterized LOC110091183